ACCUGGGUGGCUCAGUUGGUUAAGCGUCUGACUUUGGCUCAGGUCAUGAUCUCGCUGUUGGUGGGUUCGAGCCCCGCUUCGGGCU
rnacentral:tRNA from 1 species